UCUAAAAUAUGUAUCUGAAAGUGGAAUUUGGAUAGAUAUUGCCAAAUGUGCUCCCCAGAGGCCUGUAGGGUAUAAAAGGACACAUUUUCCUCAUGCCUUUUCCAUCCCUGGAUAUUAUCAAUCUUUUUAAGUUUUGCUUUUGUAAUUAGUAACAAUGAAAUUGUUUUCUUGAGUACUCAUGUGGGCGAAGAUCAUUUUGUACUAAUCCCCCAUUAUUCAAGGGCAAUACAGUCUUAAACCCUCCUGUGGAUUCCUGCAACCAUGAAUAGCCCCGAACCUACAUAUAUUAUGUUUUUUUCUACCCAUAUGUACUUAUAUAAAGUUUAAGUUCUAAGUUAGGUACAGUUAGAAAUUAACAAUAAUUAAUAAUACUUUAGAAGGAUUACAAAAAAUAUGCUGGGAUAAGAGUGAGGUUAACCUUCUAUCUCUACCUCUAAACAAAUUUUGUUGCACUAUUUUCCUUGUUCUUCUUUGCUUGAUGAUGAUGAUGAUGAUGAUGUGACAUGGUAUAAUGACUAUGUAAUGAAAUGUAUUCAGGCAAGUACAUUAGGGUUAUUUGAACACAAGCACUGUGAUACCUGACAGUAAUGUGAUUGCUAAAAUGACUACUAAGUGAUUAAUAGGUGGGUAGCAAUACAGUGUGGAUACAUUGGACAAAGGGAUGGCUAAUAUCCUGGACAGGAUGGAGUGGAAUAAUGUGAGAUUUCAUCACACUACUCAGAAUGACAUGUGAUUGCAAGCUUAUAUAUUGCUUAUUUUUGGAAUAUUUCAUUUAACACCUUUAGCUCAUAGUUGUUCACAAGUAGUGGAAACUGAGAAAGUAUAUCAUGAACAAAGAUUAAUAACUGUUUUUAUUGACCAAUGUUAGUAUUUAUUUUCUUUGAAUUGGUUGUGUAAGUUUCCCAUUUUUAUAUCUUAAAUGUAUUAAGUGGUUACCUCUUUUCAUAUUUCUCCUUUGAUAUGUAUAUAUAGAUAUAUAGAUAGAUACAUCUUUAUAUAGAUAUAACUAUAUAUAUCAUGUAUUUUGCCAAUGGUCUCUCAAAUAUCUAGAUUUCUCCAUGUAUUCACAAUUUCUUCUUCUGUGUUUUACUAUAGAUGACCUUCCCUCCAUCAAGAAUGGAUUGAACUUGGGUCCUUGAGCUUGCGCAGCAGGCGGCGAAACCACUGAGCUAAAUCCCCGGCCCCUAAUUGGAUUCUUUUCUAAGAAAAUCAACAUAAAGUGGUUUAUAAAUUUCAACACAAGAAUUUUAAAAGAAAAAAUAAGAAAAAGGAGUGAGUAUGCACAGGCUGUCUGAGGUAGAGAGCUGCAUGCCUGAGAAGAUCAUCAUACCACACCUGAGUUUUCUACUCUUCAUUCCCAGGACUUUUGCAUUGUCUGAUGACUUCCACUAACAUAGAUGGAGGAUGUGCAACCUGUUUCAGUGGGACACUGAAAGCCCUGCCUGUGGUGCUUUGAAUUCUGGCUUGAGUUCGGGCAGCUGAAAACAUAAGAAAUAAGAAGGCCUUUUCAGAAGAGCAGAGAGUGGCCUUGAGAAAAUCCCUGUCAUAUGCUCUCUGGGAUUUGGACUUAAAUCCUAAU